AGUAGGGAAGAAGCGAAAGUGACGGUACCUGCAGAAAAAGCACCGGCUAACUACGUGCCAGCAGCCGCGGUAAUACGUAGGGUGCAAGCGUUGUCCGGAAUUAUUGGGCGUAAAGAGCUCGUAGGCGGUUUGUCGCGUCUGCUGUGAAAUCCCGAGGCUCAACCUCGGGCUUGCAGUGGGUACGGGCAGACUAGAGUGCGGUAGGGGAGAUUGGAAUUCCUGGUGUAGCGGUGGAAUGCGCAGAUAUCAGGAGGAACACCGAUGGCGAAGGCAGAUCUCUGGGCCGUAACUGACGCUGAGGAGCGAAAGCAUGGGGAGCGAACAGGAUUAGAUACCCUGGUAGUCCAUGCCGUAAACGUUGGGCGCUAGAUGUAGGGACCUUUCCACGGUUUCUGUGUCGUAGCUAACGCAUUAAGCGCCCCGCCUGGGGAGUACGGCCGCAAGGCUAAAACUCAAAGGAAUUGACGGGGGCCCGCACAAGCGGCGGAGCAUGCGGAUUAAUUCGAUGCAACGCGAAGAACCUUACCAAGGCUUGACAUACACCGGAAACGGCCAGAGAUGGUCGCCCCCUUGUGGUCGGUGUACAGGUGGUGCAUGGUUGUCGUCAGCUCGUGUCGUGAGAUGUUGGGUUAAGUCCCGCAACGAGCGCAACCCUCGUUCUAUGUUGCCAGCGCGUUAUGGCGGGGACUCAUAGGAGACUGCCGGGGUCAACUCGGAGGAAGGUGGGGAUGACGUCAAAUCAUCAUGCCCCUUAUGUCUUGGGCUUCACGCAUGCUACAAUGGCCGGUACAAAGGGCUGCGAUACCGUAAGGUGGAGCGAAUCCCAAAAAGCCGGUCUCAGUUCGGAUUGAGGUCUGCAACUCGACCUCAC
rnacentral:rRNA from 1 species